GUCAUUUCGAAAACAAUUUUCACCAAUGUGACCUCCUGUCACUCUGGUUAAUUUUUCCCCAGAGCACUUACGUCCAUCAGAGACUAUAUUUAUUUAUUUGCUUUCUGUUGUCUGUCUCUCCUAGGAGGAGAUAAGAGCUGGGUCUCAAAGAGUCAGACAUGACUUUGCAACUGAACAACCACAACCACCAUUUCGAAAUGGACCUGGCUUAUGUUAGACAGAAUCUUGGGAAAUAGUCUUGAGUGGACUGCAUCAGACCGACUCCUUAUCUUCUGGCUUCUUGUUGAACGUGGUCAAUGAGAUGCAGUAGCAAAAAAGAGAGGAGCUUGAAUUGGAAGGAAACUUGGAAUCCCUAAGAUCUGACUUCCUCAUUUGGCCAAUGAGAAAAUGAAGCACAGCAAACAGCGUAACUGAACAGAUUAAAUUCAGUCUCUGGGAGAAUGGUAAUAACUCCAGCCAUUGCUGACAAAUGGAUGCCUCAGUGAAGCUGUUAACGUUGGAGUGACAUUGAGGCAGGAGAAACACAAGG